AGAGUUUGAUCAUGGCUCAGAUUGAACGCUGGCGGCGGGCCUAACACAUGCAAGUCGAACGGCAACAGGAAGAAGCUUGCUUCUUUGCUGACGAGUGGCGGACGGGUGAGUAAUGUCUGGGAAACUGCCUGAUGGAGGGGGAUAACUACUGGAAACGGUAGCUAAUACCGCAUAACGUCGCAAGACCAAAGAGGGGGACCUUCGGGCCUCUUGCCAUCGGAUGUGCCCAGAUGGGAUUAGCUAGUAGGUGGGGUAACGGCUCACCUAGGCGACGAUCCCUAGCUGGUCUGAGAGGAUGACCAGCCACACUGGAACUGAGACACGGUCCAGACUCCUACGGGAGGCAGCAGUGGGGAAUAUUGCACAAUGGGCGCAAGCCUGAUGCAGCCAUGCCGCGUGUAUGAAGAAGGCCUUCGGGUUGUAAAGUACUUUCAGCGGGGAGGAAGGGAGUAAAGUUAAUACCUUUGCUCAUUGACGUUACCCGCAGAAGAAGCACCGGCUAACUCCGUGCCAGCAGCCGCGGUAAUACGGAGGGUGCAAGCGUUAAUCGGAAUUACUGGGCGUAAAGCGCACGCAGGCGGUUUGUUAAGUCAGAUGUGAAAUCCCCGGGCUCAACCUGGGAACUGCAUCUGAUACUGGCAAGCUUGAGUCUCGUAGAGGGGGGUAGAAUUCCAGGUGUAGCGGUGAAAUGCGUAGAGAUCUGGAGGAAUACCGGUGGCGAAGGCGGCCCCCUGGACGAAGACUGACGCUCAGGUGCGAAAGCGUGGGGAGCAAACAGAAUUAGAUACCCUGGUAGUCCACGCCGUAAACGAUGUCGACUUGGAGGUUGUGCCCUUGAGGCGUGGCUUCCGGAGCUAACGCGUUAAGUCGACCGCCUGGGGAGUACGGCCGCAAGGUUAAAACUCAAAUGAAUUGACGGGGGCCCGCACAAGCGGUGGAGCAUGUGGUUUAAUUCGAUGCAACGCGAAGAACCUUACCUGGUCUUGACAUCCACGGAAGUUUUCAGAGAUGAGAAUGUGCCUUCGGGAACCGUGAGACAGGUGCUGCAUGGCUGUCGUCAGCUCGUGUUGUGAAAUGUUGGGUUAAGUCCCGCAACGAGCGCAACCCUUAUCCUUUGUUGCCAGCGGUCCGGCCGGGAACUCAAAGGAGACUGCCAGUGAUAAACUGGAGGAAGGUGGGGAUGACGUCAAGUCAUCAUGGCCCUUACGACCAGGGCUACACACGUGCUACAAUGGCGCAUACAAAGAGAAGCGACCUCGCGAGAGCAAGCGGACCUCAUAAAGUGCGUCGUAGUCCGGAUUGGAGUCUGCAACUCGACUCCAUGAAGUCGGAAUCGCUAGUAAUCGUGGAUCAGAAUGCCACGGUGAAUACGUUCCCGGGCCUUGUACACACCGCCCGUCACACCAUGGGAGUGGGUUGCAAAAGAAGUAGGUAGCUUAACCUUCGGGAGGGCGCUUACCACUUUGUGAUUCAUGACUGGGGUGAAGUCGUAACAAGGUAACCGUAGGGGAACCUGCGGUUG
rnacentral:rRNA from 1 species